rnacentral:rRNA from 1 species
UGACGACGCAACGCCGCGUGGAGGAUGAAGGUCUUCGGAUUGUAAACUCCUGUUGCCCGGGACGAAUGGCUCCGACCUAACACGUCGGAGUGUGACGGUACCGGGUGAGGAAGCCCCGGCUAACUCUGUGCCAGCAGCCGCGGUAAUACAGAGGGGGCAAGCGUUGUUCGGAAUUACUGGGCGUAAAGGGCGCGUAGGCGGCCUGCUAAGUCGAACGUGAAAUCCCUGGGCUCAACCCAGGAACUGCGUCCGAUACUGGUUGGCUUGAAUUCGGGAGAGGGAUGCGGAAUUCCAGGUGUAGCGGUGAAAUGCGUAGAUAUCUGGAGGAACACCGGUGGCGAAGGCGGCAUCCUGGACCGAUAUUGACGCUGAUGCGCGAAAGCCAGGGGAGCAAACGGGAUUAGAUACCCCGGUAGUCCUGGCCCUAAACGAUGAAUGCUUGGUGUCCGGGGUUACAUAGUCCCCGGGUGCCGGCGCUAACGCAUUAAGUAUCCCGCCUGGGGAGUACGGUCGCAAGACUGAAACUCAAAGGAAUUGACGGGGACCCGCACAAGCGGUGGAGCAUGUGGUUUAAUUCGACGCAACGCGAAGAACCUUACCUGGGCUAGAAUGCCUCUGACAACCCUGGAGACAGGGCCUUCUGGGUAAAACCAGACAGAGUGCAAGGUGCUGCAUGGCUGUCGUCAG